GAUGAACGCUAGCGGCAGGCCUAACACAUGCAAGUCGAGGGGUAGAACACUUCGGUGUUUGAGACCGGCGCACGGGUGCGUAACGCGUAUGCAAUCUACCUUGUACAGGGGAAUAGCCCAGAGAAAUUUGGAUUAAUGCCCCAUAGUAUAUAUCAUUCGCAUGUUUGGUAUAUUAAAGUUCCAACGGUAAAAGGUGAGCAUGCGUCCCAUUAGUUAGUUGGUAAGGUAACGGCUUACCAAGACGAUGAUGGGUAGGGGUCCUGAGAGGGAGAACCCCCACACUGAUACUGAGACACGGACCAGACUCCUACGGGAGGCAGCAGUGAGGAAUAUUGGUCAAUGGACGCAAGUCUGAACCAGCCAUGCCGCGUGCAGGAAGACGGUCCUAUGGAUUGUAAACUGCUUUUGUACGGGAAGAAACACUCCUACGUGUAGGAGCCUGACGGUACCGUAAGAAUAAGGAUCGGCUAACUCCGUGCCAGCCGCCGCAGUAAUAC
rnacentral:rRNA from 1 species